GUGAACUCAUGCGUCUUCUAACCUAGACUGCCACGUUCACGAUCUUUCGGCCACCAGUUUUCUAAUACCGACUUUUCAUAUCUUCUCAGUUCUCGCAUUGCUUCAGAGUGUUGCUGCAAUUUCAAGUAUUUCAACUCUUAUCUGUUUCAUCUUUUCUUCUUCUUGGUUUGAAUCAGUUUGUAUUUGCUCACCUAACGGAUUUGAUUCUAUGGGUUCACGAAGUUUUAAUCUUUUUUAUGUUUUGGCCCAAAAAGGGAUUGCUGUAAGCGAAGGGGAAAAAGAAGAAAGGCUUCAGUCUGUGUUGUUGUAAAUAUUGUUCUUGCGUGUGUUCAACCUCCUUCAUAUUUCUUGAGAUGGCACAUAAAUUUAUUCUCAACUCAGUCACUCUAAAAACUCGAGGAUUGGACAUGCAAAGUGCAAGUAGUAGAUAUAUAUAUCCACCAAGGGACAACAAAGAAAACCAAAAAAUACCAACUGAUGGUUACAGGAUGAGGAGGUGCUUCUACCACUUGUAGAUUCUGCAAACUUUACAUGCUACCACAAUUUAGUAGUAACAAACUUGUGUCUUAUUUGACUGCAUGAAAACCUUUGAUGCUUCAAGUAUCAAGUCAAAGAUUUUGAAUUUGAUGUCCUUGGACUGCUGAUUAAUGCUGGUCUUCCAAGUAUUGCAGCAAAUGGGAAGAGUAUACAAGAAUUCAUCAUUACGGAUACUCAUUUUUUGGAGGUGUUUGUAUGGGUACUGCAUCGCCGCGCAUAUCCACAGAAGGCACUCUUCUUUUUCCUCCCUUUGAAGAAGAAUCAAUAUUCAUAUCUGAUAUCCAAACGCAACCGCUGGUACAGAAAUGAAGAGUGACAUUUAACCUUCCAGUCCUUUGCAACUAUUUUUUAAACACCAAAGAAUAAAUCGAUUUCUAAAUUUUACAGGGACAAAUAUUUUACAGAGUGUGAACUCCUGGUGAUAAAUGAGGACCAACAUUUCUACACGGCGUGCUCAGAUUGUAAGAUGUCAUUUAUAAGCAGUACUUCGGCAAGACCAAUCUACUAUAUACAUUGCGACCGAUCAACCCAACUUAUCCCCGGGUAUAACUCAUGCACAUAGCAUGGAAAAAAACUCAUCCUUAGAAAAAGUGUUGAAAGAGUCCAAUUUGAAGUUACGGUCGUCGAUCACACUGGUUGAGCAAUAGCUUCCAUUUCAGACCAAUCAGAAGAGAAGAUGUUGAACCUCACCGUACAAGAUAUUUAUGACAUCUGUCGAACCAAGGUAUUUUGCAUUAUUGACUUUAUAAAGAUACAGUCAACGCGCUGAGAUAAUUAAGAGCAAAGACUUUCAGAAUCCAAAUGAGAAGAUUAUUUUCCAAAAUCCGGACAAGCUAUGUAUUUUGGAUUAUGAGGAAAAAGAUCUGCCGACCAGCCAUUACCAACUGCACCAAUGAUGGGGAUCACUGCAGCAAAUAAGUGGAAGGUUGUGGAGAUUAGUUUAGAACCAAGAAACCAACAAAAGCUGCCCAGCAAAAAUAGCCCUUCUAGCAGUUAACAUAAAACUGAAAUCAGGGCCCCUAUCAAAGGGAUUGAAAGGUACUCAAAAUUUAAGCCUCGCAACUUCGCCCAUGACUGAAUAUGUAUUACUUCAUAAUCUAUUGGCCACUAAGUCACAUAUAUAUUGAGGCUUCCCCUGUAACUCGAGUUCAAGAAACUUUAUCCUAAGCUGCCUGACCAAGGAUGAGAAACACAAAUGAAACAUAAGUGAAAUUAUCAUUUCGAAGCAAAAUAUGUUUUUCCCUUUAUACUGAUGUUGUGUUAAAGUCUUGGAAUAAUGUUAGCGCUAGAAGGUAGAUAAAGAGUAUCCAUGUGGCAUAACUUGAAGUUCAAAAUUAACUGGAAUUGAAAUCUGCAUUCACUAAUCUGAUACAUUUAUUCUAUUAUCCUUUAACCAAACCUUAUCAUACUAAUUGUCUUGAAUAGUUGUAGGGUUCAUAUUUACAAGUCAUCCGGAACCCUGAGUGUGUAGAAGUUUUCAGAUCCCAAAUUUGAAUUUAGUUAUUUCCUGGGGUUGACCAUUUGGAUAACACCACCACAUCACCUGCUAUUCAAAAAACAUCAUUGUUACUUUUAAAAAACUUCUAGGGGAAUAGAGCUUAGUAGACAAAUAUCUAAUGCACAACAGUUGAAUUAAGAAGAGCAUUUAAGGUUUGUUUGCUGAAUUACUUCUCAUAAUCAACUACACUUUAUACAUGGAAAAAUAGAUACAAUGAAUGUUUUAUCUAUGGGUUAUGAGUCAAUAAAUUAUGCCAUUUAAAUAUAGUGCUGAAAGUUUGUCGUGUUGAUGCUUAUACUCUUAUUUCGUUUUCUCAUAAAGUUUUUGAAGCAAAGAAAACCUUAAACUGUCGCUUUUUGUCGCGCUGCGCUGUCUUUUUGACAGGCCGGAGUACAUAAAUACAUGGAUUUUUAAUAAGCCGGAUUAACCCAUGAAGAUACACGAUGCGCCAUGCUUGAAAAAGAAGAAACCUCUACAGGUAUUAUGUUAACGACACCGUGACACAACUACAAGAUGACCGCUACCAACAAAGUAGCUGACUGCGUUACUAAUUUGCUUUCUGUCGUUAUCAGCUUUUGUAAAUAUGUAAUUAAUGUGAUAUGUUGAAAUCAUGAAUGUAUAAUAUGGACAGUGCAAUCUUGAAUGUAACACAAACAAUAUGUGUGCAUAUAUGUUAUAGAGUUUAUUAAGAGUUUAAAAUGUGUAUAUAUAUUACUAACAGUUUAAACAA